GAUGAACGCUGACAGAAUGCUUAACACAUGCAAGUCGAUGGGGAAGUGGUGCUUGCACUAUGGCAACCAUGGCGGACGGGUGAGUAACGCGUAAGGAACUUACCUGCAGUACUGGGAUAACAGGGGGAAACUCCUGACAAGCCCGGAUAAUGUCAUGGAGCUGCAUGGCUUUAUUAUGAAAGGAGACGCCUGCGGAGAGCCUUGCGUCCUAUUAGCUAGUUGGUGAGGUAAUGGCUCACCAAGGCGAAGAUAGGUAGCCGGCCUGCGGGGGUGGACGGCCACAAGGCGGCUGAGAUACGGCCGUGACUCCUACGGGAGGCAGAAGUGGGGAAUAUUGGACAAUGGGGGCCACCCUGAUCCAGCAAUUCUGUGUGCACGAAGAAGGUUUUCGGAUUGUAAAGUGCUUUCAGCAGGGAAGAAGUAAGUGACGGUACCUGCAGAAGAAGCGACGGCUAAAUACGUG
rnacentral:rRNA from 1 species